rnacentral:piRNA from 1 species
UCCAAGGAGUCCAACAUGUAGUACAAU